rnacentral:rRNA from 1 species
AAUCCAGUUGAUCCCGCUGGCGGUUGCGGCUAUCUGGUUUGACUUAGACAUGCAAGUCUUCCGAAAGGAGGCGAACUGCUCAGUAACACGUAGAUAACCUGCCCUAUUGCCCAUGAUACCCUCGGGAAACUGAGAUUAAGAAUGGAUAGGCGCCGACUACUGGAAUGUGUUGGCGCUCAAAAUUUGCAAUAGACUGGGUCUGCGGUGGAUUAGGUUGUUGGCGGGGUAAAGGCCCACCAAGCCGAUGAUCCAUACGGGCUUUUAGCGAAGGGGCCCGGAGAGGGAGUCUGAGACACUACUCCCAGCCCUACGGGGUGCAGCAGUCGAGUAUUUUCUGCAAUGUACGAAAGUAUGACAGAGCGAGCCAGAGUGAUUUUCUAUAAUUGAAAAUCUUUUGUGACAUGUAGAUAGUGUUACGAAUAAGGACCGGGCAAGACUGGUGCCAGUCGCCGCGGUAAUCCCAGCGGUCCAAGUCGCAACCACAAUUAUUGGGUCUAAAACAUCCG